ensembl:lncRNA
CCUUGCCCCAGGCCCACACUGGCUUAAAUACUGUGAUUGUAUUUUUACGUAACUUUGAAAUCAGGUUCUGUAAGACCUUGCUUGAAAGGCCUGCUCUGCUGUCCCCCAAGACCUCAACUUUCUCCUAGCACAGUGACUGCAACAAAGGAGGUGUUGGAGAAACACUUGUAGAAUGGAAAAAUGCACAGAAAAUGUGGCUACUCUGCAGUCUUCAGCACACACUGCUGACAUGAAGAGUUGCUACCAAAAUCAAUUCAUGAAAUCUUAGAAUUCAUCAGAAAAUCUGAUGUUGGAAAAAAUCUGGUUUUGGACAAUGUGUCAGCGAAGAAAAGGAAAGCAUCCAUACCUUUCCAAAUCAUGCAUAUCCCCAUAUUCCCAACUCAUGUACAUGAUUUUCUGAACGUGUGAUGUUCGUUGAUGUGACAAUAUGAAUAGAACAAUAUGAAUAAAAGCUAAUAGCUAUUGAGUGAUUAUUACUGUGCCAGGUACUAUGUUAAAUGCUUCACGUGCGUUAUCUUGUUUAAUGAUCCAGUCACACUGAAGUGAAUUAUAUUUUGGAGGACUCUUUGUUACAAAGGAGUGAAUAAGUUUGGGAAUAUCACUAACUUGCUGAGAGUCAUACCAGUGAUGGCAGAGCCAGCAUUCAAAGGAUCUUUUGUGGAAUUAAUUGAGAUACAGUAUGUGGAAAUUACUUCAUAAAAAUAAUUCACAGAGAACCAGCCCUGAUGGCCUAGUGGCUGAAGUUCAGUGCUCCCCGCUUUGGGGGCCCACUUUGGCCUCCUGGUCAAGGAACCACAUCACCUGUCUGUCAGUAGCCGUGCUGUGGUGGUGGCUAACACAGAAGAACUAGAAUGGUUUACAACUUGAAUAUACAACCAUUUACUCGGGCUUUAGGGCGGGAAAAAGAAAAGAGGAAGGUUGGCAAUAGAUGUUAGCUCAGGGAGAAGUUUUCCCUUCCAAAAAUAAAAAGUAAAAAAUAAUUCAUAGAAAUAGAACAUAAUAUAUAGAUAAGCAACAUAAUUCCACCAUUAUGGACACUAAAAACAUUUUCUCUUCUAGAUAUCUUAAUUAUUCUUAGUGAAUGACCUUUUUAUUACAGGAGCUCAGCAUUCCAGUGCGUCUUUCCUAAGGUAGAAGGAUAGACCAAGUCAUAUUAUGUAAAACAUGAGGUGAGACUUAUGUACAAUGCAAAAAAAAAAAAAACCAGAAAAUAGAAGGAAAUCAUGCAAAGAUAACUUUUUUUUUAAAGAUAAUUUACUGUUGGAUGGAGGAAAAUAGAGUUAAAACAAUUGUUUUGAUUUAUCCUUUUUCUACUUGAUGUGUUCUUGUCCAUAUAGAUACGGUUCUGGCAUGAAAUUUUAUGCACACAAUGAGCUCUUUUCUAUGGAGGCUAGAAAAACGGGUUUGAAGUAUAAGAUUUAGAAUAAAUUCCAAGAAGGAAAAUGCUAGCAUAAUCAGGGUUAUGUGUUAUAAUAUCUUCAAGGAUUGAAAUUAAUGUGUCUUAAAACUCUCUUCCUUUUCCUUAAUGGUGACUUACUCAUCAAAAGAUAAAUAAAACUCUUUUAUUAUCAUGCAUUCAUUGAGGUAAAAACAAUAAAGUAACGGUUUUUCGUAAUAAAAUCUGUGUAUGUAUCCUAAGUUCUCUCUUUCAACCAAGCUUGGUCAAAAUCUUGGAUCAGACUAGUUUUAUCUUCUUCAAAAUCCCUUCAUUGUUUUGUGACUUCAAGUAAUAUUCUUAGGUUUUAUCAAAAACAAAAUUUUCCAAGAAGCAGGAUUAGAAACGUACUGUAGAAUGGCAUUAACAGAAAUGUCCUCAUUAGCUUUGUUGCCCUGAGAAGCCCAUGGGAGACAUUUAUUUCAGAAAUUAGGCGCCAAGUAAAAUACAUUAUGAACUGGAACUUCUCUAUGAUAAUCAUCUCCACGGAACUUACUGUAUUUCUUAUUUUUUCCUGAUCACCAGAAAAAUCACAACCUAACAGGACUUUUCAGCUCAGUGGUCAUAUUAAACUUGUGCUUUGCAUAUCUGCUUCCCUUCUGUUCUUUAGCUAUAGAAACAGUAAAUUAGGGCUGAUUUUUAAAUCUUACGUUAGUGAGUUUGGGGAAAAGAUAUUUAAAAAUGCUAUAAAUACGUAAAUUAAUACAUCCAUGUUAGGUUUUCAAAAGCAAGUAUUUCCUUUGACAUUAUUUCAUUUGCUCUUCAUUAUGGCCCAAGGAGAAAGCCAAGGCAAGCAUUCAAACAUAAUUUGAUCACUGAUGAAACUACAGAUAUGAGAGAUGAAGACCGACUUCAGAAAUUCCGACAGGUGCACAGCAGAGGUCUUUGCACAUUUUGUUCUGUGCUUGUUCCCCAUGGCUUCCAAAGGGCUUGCUAACUACAGGGAAAAGUAUGAACUGAUUCCCUCUUAUUUAUAGGUGCUCUGGGGCCUUUGGUCUGUUGUGUUCAUACUCAGACUUUAAGUCCGGAGUCUAGAGAGUUAUGAGACCACUGCUGGGAACAAGGCCCAUUCAGCUCCCUGCCCACACUCUUUAAAUAUGUACAGCAUCUGCAUCAAAGGGAUUCGUUUGGGACAUCAUGACUGAAUCAGACUGACCCUGAGUGAUUAGGAAAAGAAUGUAUUCUCUUACAAUAGUGCAUCAUCCUUGGGACAAUAUUGCAUCCAGUGUGCUAACCCACACAUCACUUCCAGGCCUGGUACAGUCCAGUUCUGCAAUAAAUGUUUGUUGAGCUACAUUUACAAAUGGCAAGAAAUACAUUCAUUAUGCAGAAUGGAAGAAUGUCUGUCCACAUUACCCUCACCCAAUCUCUAAUUAUGAAACUUUACCUUAUGAUGGUAUAUAAAAUACAAAUCUGGAAACCCUAAGACUGUAAUAAAUCUCCAGUCGCCAAAUUACUUGAUUUUCUGUUGAGCUGCCAUUUGGCUCCAUCAAAUGAACACAAUUUUUUCACCUAAUAGCUAUGUUUUGGGUUUGUACUCUGAGUAUAGCAAGAUGAAAGUGAGAGUGACUCUGCUGAUAACUGGAACAUUCCUGAAAGACAUAUAAUUAUACUUAUUUCCUGAUCAAAUAAGAUCAUCAAAAGGGGAAUCUUGUUUUAGAAUUUCUUGUGUUCUGGGUUCUUAGGUGCUUUCACAAAUGUUGCUUCAUUUAAUCCAUACAACUACCCUAAAAAAUAUCACUGAGAUCUUAAUAUUUUGGUUUAUUAAAUUGAAGUUAAGAAAAGUUAAGGAAAAUUUUCUUUCUCUUUUUUAUGUUCUAAAGCCUUAACUAUUUUAACACUAUGGGAAAAUAGAGGGACAUUUAUGCUACCAAUAAAUGGAACAAGAUUUAAGAAAUAUUUAUAUUUCUUCAUUUUUCAUUAAUACUUGACAGAAAAGCUGGGAUUUUUCCUUUGAAAAAAAGUGUUGUGGGAGGUGGUAUUUACAUAUACAUACCUUUGAUCACUGAAGGAAAAGCAAUCUCUUGGUCAACCCUGCCUUUAUUUUUCUCGUGUUGGACAAUGCAUUUGUGUUCUUUAUCCAUUGACUUUUCAGUCACUGUCAGCCAGCUGAAUUUCAUGUAUGUGUCAUUAGUCUUCAUAGUAUUUCCUUGCUGGGAUUCCAGAAUUGUAUGGCCAUCCUUUUCUUUCCAAUAUACAUUGAUAACAUCAGGGAAUAAUUUCUCAAGAAGACAAAGAUAUGUCCCAGUCUUAUGGAGGUUGAUUUCAGCAAUUGAAGGAAGAAACAUAAUGGGCUUGGGGGAAAUGUCUGCAGGAAGGCCUUUAUCUGUGGGGGAAAACAGAAAAACAAUUAAAAAGAAUCGUCAGAGAAGUGCAAAUAUUGUAUGGUUUGGAACAACCUAGUGCAUAGUAAAAGGAAGAAAAGCUAACGUUUAAUUAGUGCUUACCAUGGCCUUUCAUCAACCAUAGAUUGUGAGGUAUUUAUUGUUAUUUUCAAUGGGAAGAGAGGUUCCAGAGGUUAUGCAACUUGCCCAGAGUCAUGGCUGGUUUGUGGCAGAGCCUGGAUUUCAACUUGGCCUUUG